rnacentral:tRNA from 2 species
GCCGAAGUAGCUCAGUGGUAGAGCACGCCCCUGAAGAGGGUGGUGUCGUCAGUUCGAUUCUGACCUUCGGCA